rnacentral:rRNA from 1 species
AACGAACGCUGGCGGCAUGCCUAACACAUGCAAGUCGAACGAUGCCUUCGGGCAUAGUGGCGCACGGGUGCGUAACGCGUGGGAAUCUGCCUUUCGGUUCGGAAUAACUCAGGGAAACUUGAGCUAAUACCGGAUAACGUCGCAAGACCAAAGAUUUAUCACCGAAAGAUGAGCCCGCGUAGGAUUAGCUAGUUGGUGAGGUAAAGGCUCACCAAGGCGACGAUCCUUAGCUGGUCUGAGAGGAUGAUCAGCCACACUGGGACUGAGACACGGCCCAGACUCCUACGGGAGGCAGCAGUGGGGAAUAUUGGACAAUGGGCGAAAGCCUGAUCCAGCAAUGCCGCGUGAGUGAUGAAGGCCUUAGGGUUGUAAAGCUCUUUUACUCGGGAAGAUAAUGACGGUACCGGGAGAAUAAGCCCCGGCUAACUCCGUG